CGCAGGGUGGAGCAGCUCGGAGUGCUCGCGGGUCUCAUACGCCCGAGGUCGUGGGUUCAAAUCCCACCCCUGCCACCA
rnacentral:tRNA from 1 species